rnacentral:rRNA from 1 species
AACGAACGCUGGCGGCAUGCCUAACACAUGCAAGUCGAACGAGACCUUCGGGUCUAGUGGCGCACGGGUGCGUAACGCGUGGGAACCUGCCCUUAGGUUCGGAAUAACUCCCCGAAAGGGGUGCUAAUACCGGAUAAUGUCUUCGGACCAAAGAUUUAUCGCCUUUGGAUGGGCCCGCGUUGGAUUAGCUAGUUGGUAGGGUAAAAGCCUACCAAGGCGACGAUCCAUAGCUGGUCUGAGAGGAUGAUCAGCCACACUGGGACUGAGACACGGCCCAGACCCCUACGGGAGGCAGCAGUGGAGAAUAUUGGACAAUGGGCGAAAGCCUGAUCAAGCAAUGCCGCGUGAGUGAUGAAGGCCUUAGGGUUGUAAAGCUCUUUUACCCGGGAUGAUAAUGACAGUACCGGGAGAAUAAGCUCCGGCUAACUCCGUG